rnacentral:rRNA from 1 species
UACAGAGGUCCCAAGCGUUGUUCGGAUUCACUGGGCGUAAAGGGUGCGUAGGUGGCGUGGUAAGUUUGAUGUGAAAGCUCAGGGCUUAACCCUGAAAUGGCAUUGAAUACUACUGUGCUGGAGGUUUGGAGGGGGGACUGGAAUUCUUGAUGUAGCAGUGAAAUGCGUAGAUAUCAAGAGGAACACCAGUGGCGAAGGCGAGUCCCUGGACAACACCUGACACUGAGGCACGAAAGCUAGGGGAGCAAACAGG